UAUCUGGCACUGGGGACAUAUGUGGCACUGGGAGCACAGCCCUAGCAACAAGGACUACCUCCUAGCAACGAGCAUGACACCCAGUGCAUGAAACACCUGACAACGAGCAUGACACCCAGUGCAUGAAACACCUGGCAACGAGCAUGACACCCAGUGCAUGAAACCCCUGACAACGAGAAGAAAAUGGAGUCAUCGAAAAAGGCAAAAAAAUAGGUGAAUUACAUCUGACUGGUGAAGAAUUUCUAAUUGAGUAGCAGAGAAAAACAGAACCGACAUCAACCUACAGUGGAGUGAAAGCACAAAUCACUAUAAUCUGUACAGGCUUUGUGUCAUGGAAUGAGCAAGUCUGUGAUCUGUAUUGGGAUCCUUAGGCUCUGCUGACAUAGGUGUAUGAGUGACAUGAGGAGAAUGUAACAUGGACAAGCUCAUGGAGUGAUAGUAUGAGGCUUGAUGUUACUUUGAUAAAUAGGUUUUUAAGGAUAUUAGAUACACAAGUGACACAUAGGAACCUUGGACUGGUCAUAUGCAAGAAUGUUGAAAUGGAACCAGAAGCCACCAGGUCCCCGGGCGACCUCUCACCUAAUAAUCAGAGAGACCAGUCAGGCCAGAGAUCCACGCCAGAAACAAGGCAGCCACUGGAACUCAAAGCAGCAUAGUACUUACAGCAUGGAACCGGAAUCUAAAUCAGGAAUCAGAGUAUUAUGUAACCAGGAAAAAGCUUGAAAAAGCUAUACCCCCUGACACUGAUCUGAUGCAAGACCUGGUCCCGGAAUCCAGAUGAGGAACUCACAACAGAGAAACAAUCCAGAUGGUACAGAAAUGGUGGAAGGAGACUUUUCUACAAGUACAGUAUCAGUAAUGUCAAACUCAUACAUAGCUAAAGUGGACACCUCUAGACUUUCCUCAGUGGCUGAACUGAGGUUAGGACUUUGACUUCAUGUGCCUGCUUCCUGCUGCUCUUACUGUGAUAAUCGUGGUGCUGCUUGGAAGCAGACAAAACUGAUUAUGUGGAGUCUCUAUACAGUAUAUGAGCUAUAAGAAGAAUCCAGCAAGGAACAAGGGGUGGUUUAUGGAACAAGCAUACUAAUUUCAUUUUUACAACACAAAAAGAUUCAGUAACUUUUAUUACACCCACGUUGCUUGCCAGUUUACUCACUGACUAGUAUUUGAUUAAUAUUAUGAAGCAUGCUUUAAAGCAGAAAAUAAAGCGAUUAGCAAGUGA